rnacentral:rRNA from 1 species
CCUACGGGUGGCAGCAGUCGAGAAUCUUUCACAAUGGGGGAAACACUGAUGGUGCGACGCCGCGUGGGGGAAUGAAGGUCUUCGGAUUGUAAACCUCUGUUAUGUGGGAGCAAAUACAAAAGAUCGUACCACAAGAGGAAGAGCUGGCUAACUCUGUGCCAGCAGCUGCGGGACUACAGCGGCAUUAAGCGUUGGUCGGCAUCCGUGGGCUUAAUGCGUGCGUAGGCUGGUUCGUAAGUCGUGUGUGAAAGGCGCGGGCUCAACCCGCGGACGGCACAGGAUACUGGGAGACGAGAGUAGUGGAGGGGUAAGCGGAAUGCGCGGUGUAGCAGUGAAAUGCGUAGAUAUCGAGAGGAACACUCGUGGCGAAGGCGGGUUGCGGGACAUGAACUGACGCUGAGGCACGAAGGCGAGGGGAGCGAAAGGGAUUAGAUACCCGGGUAGUC